UUUAGUCGGGACUUUUAUUCUGAAACCGUAGUCAUGGUAACAUGCAGAACAGUGUACAGUCGUCAGUGCAACUGCCGCUAUCUGCUGUGUGUAGGUGAUCUGUGAGAGCUGUCAGCUGUAAAGUUGCUGAUUCCUGUUCGUUCGGGGUGAUUGGUGCAACUGUAAUAUUAUGAUGUUAGUCAUUGCCCUUAAAGUAAGUCAAUUUGAUUAUAUUUAUGUUGAUUUUCAGUUGUGUAACUUGAUCUGAAUAGACUUAAGCGUCUGUGACAUAAGUGCAUGUCCGGACAUGUCCUGUAUAGAUCGUUCUGUGUUAUCCAGAUCGACUAUGUACAUCAUUGAAUAUACAGUUGUGAUCCAUCCAUCUACCUACAAUACACCAAGUUAAUCUGA